AAAAAACGCUCAAUGCCUCUUAACAUUGUAAAUGACAAAUAUUUCACACGCUCAAUGCCUCUUAACAAAAAAAAAAAACGUGACUCUUCUCUCUCAUUCUCUUCCGGUCACUGCUCUUCUCUUCUCCUCUCUCAGUCGAUGCUCUGCUCUUCUUCAUCGUCAUUGCCUCUAGCUCCAGCCACCUUACGUAAACCACCACAAGACUGUGAGUUGAGAAUGAACAUAUUCAUCUCACAUCAAAUCCAGAUCUCAAAAUCCUCUACAUCUAGAUUUGUUGGUUUUAACCCAUGAAAAUUCAUUGAUUUUGCUGACCUAAUUCCAUUUUCCCAGGUCUGAAUUCAGAGAGAGGUUUAAGAAAAGAGAAUCCAAGCAACAAAUCCAUUGUCGUGGUUGGGAAAGUUGGUGGAAAGGAAUGGAAUGGAUAUAAAGGUUGAAAUAGGAUAAGGCUCGAUUCAUUGCUAAGUUUGAGAAGUUCAAGGAGGAGUAUGAGGAGACAAUGCUUGCGUACAAUAUGGGAAUUACCGAGAAUAAUGCUUCAGAGGAAGAAGGAUUUGAUAAGUCUUAGUCGGAAUUUGAUGUCUUAGACUAAGAAGAAUGCUUCAGAGUUGAAGAAAAUUAUGGCUAAUGAGAAAGCUGCUGAGAUUGUUAUGGCUGAUCCGAGGCGGGCCAAGAGGUGUUGUAAUUGAAUCAUUCAACGUUUUAGUUAGUAAUGUCAAUAUGAAUGGUUAGUUUAACUUGGAUAUUUUUUUCUAUCGUUUUAUUAUAAGCAAAGAACUUGGUUGCUCCUGCAAUUCUUCAUAAUUAUGCAGAUUUUUGUAUCAAUACAUGAGUUUUGUGUUUGUGUUGUACUUAUGUUGUAGGGCAAAAAUAUUGGAGACACUUUUAUUAUUAGCAGAACUUGAUUACUCACGA